GAGGAAAGUCUGAUUUCUAUUUUUGUUUCAGUUGCUUUUAAUAAAAUAGUAUAAAAAAUAUGAGGAUAGUGCUACAGAAAAAAACCAUUUAGCUAUUUUAUGCUAAAACAGGGUGCAAAGGUAUUCUUAAAGCUUACCAGAAAUAUUGAAAAAUAUUUACUUAGUAAACCCCGCUGAAUAGAAUAAAAGAUUAGGUGUGCUUUUUUUUUAUUUGUAUCUAAGGUUUCAAAAACUUUUUAGAUUUAAAGCCAUUUUUUUUUACCUUGCUAUAAAGUCUGAUAUUAACACUAAAGAUUAAUUGCUAUCCUAAACUGAAUACAUCAAAUUAGAUAUUAUUUUGUUUAGAACAAAAUUCAGCUUAU
rnacentral:RNase_P_RNA from 1 species